rnacentral:rRNA from 1 species
AUGAAGAACCAGAGCUCGCCACGACCACCAUCUCAGAACCACCGUCACGUCCUAGUCGCCGAAGAGAGGACCACUAUCCCCUCUCGCCCAGGCCGUGGGCGUCGAUCCGCCGGACAGACAGGACCACACGAGGGAGAGCACGGCGGCCAUAGGAGGGAACAGGGUCAUCCAUGGGAAGAGUCACCACCGGAAGGAGAAGACGCCGCCACCGGGAGCACCCGAAGCACGCAGGAGCCUACCCGCCUCCCCACAGACCCAAAGCGACGCCUUCAAGAAGGUAACGACGCCGCUAUGGCGCCGCCGCCGCCCAAACCAAAGUUGUGGGCUUUCACCCGGGUGCAGGGGAAGGGGGAGGAGGGGGAGGUGAACCUCAACGCUGCCUUCAAGAAGGAGAGCAGCGCCCAAGGCGCCGCCGACGAGGUGGCCGCCGCCGCCGCCGGAGGCCAAGGGGCUACCCGCCUCUCCUAUAAUUCCGAUCGUCAGUUUGUUGUCUCGUCGAUUUCAGUUCCCAGACCCCCGAUCGCGAGACGCUAG